GAAUGCAAUGGAAGUGGUUUAUAGUCCCUUGCUCUUACAACUUGCAGGGACAUGUGGUUAUUUGGAAAUUGUGACUGAGCGGACCCAAGAAUGUAAAUAAUAUUCAUAAACCUAUGGGAGACUCGUGUGACUAUUUUUUUUCCUUGUUCUAGGCACAGAAAAAAAUAGGUCAGCUUAAAAAUAUGUUUACAUUGGAUAAAGGAUUAGGCAAAAAUAAAAUGUUUCAAGGAUUCCUGACCAUAAGUGA
rnacentral:lncRNA from 1 species